UCUGGGGUGAGGGCUGGAAAUCGAUGAGCCAUGGUGACAGGUCUGGAAAAAAAUGCAAGAGAACCAUGCAGAGAGAUGUGGUUGGCUCAGGCAAAUUCAUGACUAAGACAAUAAGAGUGGGAAGAUGAGCUGUAGAGGCCCCUCUGAUACUUCCAUCCCAUUUCAGCAACUGGAUAAACAAAAGGUAUGCUGACUCAAGCAGAAUAACAGAAAAAAGUGAAGUUAAACUUGUACUGUUUACAGGUUAAACUCCUACAGAGGGAUUAAAGGUCAGUACCCAUAUCAGCACAAAUGUUGUCUUAUGUUAAUUAUAAAACAGAGUCACAGGCCAAUGUUCACCACAAGGAAAUAGGAGGCCAGCCUGGAGUGGAUAUUGAUAGAUAAUAAUUUCUGUGUACCCUAAGCCUCCGAUCACUGAGGUCUCAAGCCCACUUUAGAAAAAAAUUGUGAUGAACAGUUGUUCAUAUUAUUAUUGUUAUAGCACAAUAGAAAUUGGGAUGAGAAGUGAAAAAAUGCAAAGUUUUAGAGCAGUAUGCAAUUUAUACCAUCACCUUAAUUUUUAUUUUAAAGAAAGUAUACCCACAAACCUCUGAGGAAUGAGAUAAAGUGGGGAGACCCUCAUGUUUCUCUUUAUACAUUCUUUGUAAUGUUUAAUUUUUUAAUAAGCAGAUAUAUACAUAUAUGUAUACAUAUCAAGAAAUAUAUGUGCAAAUCUAGAAAAAGCUUGUGAAUAUUAACAUAUAUGAGUAGACAGUAACUACAGAAAAAUAGAGCUCAGAGAUAUUUGAAUCAGUUCUACCAUUAGAGAUGAGAAAACUGAGGCCUAGGAAGACCAUGUCUGAUGCCCUUUCUAAGUUGAAAUGUUCUGCGAUUGCAAGUCACAUCCUGCUCACUUGUGACUUAGAAUCUUAUUUCUAGUUCUUCAGCCAAAUGGCUGAUGGAGCUUUACAGUGUGGUUCAUUCUGCCUUACUUAAAGAGGUGCUGGGAAAAGAUAGUCAUUUGCGAAAUACAGAUGUUUAACUCUCAAAGAAAUACUAGGCAGCAGAGCCCAUUUGCUUCUUCACAUAAAAAGCAGGAGGAUUUUCAAGAAGACAAAUGUAGAAAGUGUGAUUCAUUGAAAUCCUGUAAUUGUCAAGUGCUAUAUACAGUGCCCUUGUGUCGGAUGCAUAAAGAUGUCCACAGCUUUGUUCUGCACCUCGGUGAAAAGAAAUAAGUGCAGUGAGAUGAUCUGGGGCAGCCAGAGGGUGGUCUGAUUUGCAGUGUCUUUGAACACGUGAAGCAGCCUAGAAAGAUCUGAGUGUGGCUUUUUCCUCCAAACUGGCACCUAAAGCCAAAAGAACUCUUAGGUGUUUAAAAACUACAUCCCCUUUCCCUGCCCUAGUACCACUGACUCUGACCUUGGGUUCCACAGGUGUGCUUUGGCUAAAGUGUUACGAGUGUCAUAGAAGCCAGGGUCAAUCCCCUGCUGCAUCCAAACUGGCGAAGGGAGCACAAGGUACUUGUUAAAGAAAAGUUCAUGACAAAGGCAAUAUAUUCUCCUAACAUCACUAGUUUUCAGGUAGUUGACCAAAUGUACCAAAAUAAAUCAGCAGCUUUUGAUUCUUAAUAUCUAAAACUGUCAUGUCUUCAUAGAGUCUGGUGUCCAUGAAGAAGGAACUGUCUAAAGCUUCCAGCAAGUGGAGGUUUUGGAAAUUCAUAAUCACAUGACAACUAUGGCCUGUGAAGUUUCUAAACCUGUUCCAUUUCCUUAUUUGAGCAGUGGGUGAAGGCAAAGGGCAAAAUACUUGAAGUGUUUAUUUCUGUGACAAAGAAACUUCAGUGCUAGUACCAGUAGGUGUGGGAAAAGAAUGUAGAAAAUGACAUAAGGCAAUAUGUAAGUAAAUCGUUUCAAUAAGUACUUGUUUUGAAAAGUGAGAGUAGAAAUAGAAAUCUCAAAAACUUAUGAGAGUCUAAUAAAAUAGAA